rnacentral:ncRNA from 20 species
AACAAUUUAAGGAUUUCAGGUGCCCUUCGCCAAGAAGGGAGAAUAGGGAACCGGGUGCAAUUCCCGGACGGACCCGCCACUGUAAAGAGGAGUCUCAGCGCUGAAUGCCACUGGGUAACUGGGAAGGCAGCAAGGAGACAAUGACUCGAAGUCAGGAGACCUGCCUGGAUCCGGGGACACAUG